UGUGGGUGAGGAGAGGCUGUUGAAGGUCGGGGGUGCCCUGUGUGGGGGGGGAGAGGCUGUUGAAGGUGAGGGGUGCCCUCACUCUGUGGGUGAGGAGAUGCUGUUGAAGGUGAGGGGUGCCCUCACUGUGUGGGGUGAGGGGAGGCUGUUGAAGGUGAGGGGUGCCCUCACUGUGUGUGGGGGAGAUGCUGUUGAAGGUGAGGGGUGCCCUCACUGUGUGUGACCACAGAGGUUUGGGGAGGAGUUGGAGCCUUUGCUGAGCUGACGUGGACUGCUGGCAGCAGGUGCACACAUUUUGAGGAGCUGUGGUGAGUGCGUCCCACGAGGCGGUCGGUUCCCCAUUCAUAGCCAGGGAAACGGAGACCCGGGGGAGAUGGACGAAGACAUUGGUGUUGGGACUGGAUUUGAUCCCAGGCCCCAGGCUGCAGCGUCUGUGCUUUACCAGCCCUGUGGGGUCCUCACCGUCCCGUACCAGGAGACUCAGAGUACCAGGGGCUUCAGGUCGUCACUGUUGCCACCUCUCCCCCCUGGUGAGAAGGACCCACGUAGCAGAUGGAGGGCACUGUUUUUUAAGGUUUUAUCUCCCCACCCGCCUGCAAGAGAGUGAAUGUUUGUGACCCCCCCAAAUUCGGGUGCUGAAACCUAACCCCAAGGUGAUGGUGUUAGAAGAUGGGGCUAUUGGAAGAUGAUUAGGUCACGUGGGGCUUUGUGGAUGGGAUGAGUGAAGCAUCCAAGAGCUCCCUCGCCCCUCCAGCUAGGGGAGGACAUGGGGAGAAGACACCUCCAUGAACCAGGAUGCAGCCCUCGUCAGACACUGGCUCUGCCUGGACCUUGAUCUAGAACUUCCAGCCUCCAGAACUGUGAUGACAAGUUUCUGUUGUUUAGGAGCUGCCUAGCUUAUGGUAUUUUCAUUAUAGCAACCCCACUGGCUAAGGUACUACCCUACCCUGCCCCACCCCCAGUUCUGAAGUAUGGGGUAAAGGGAGUGCCAUCCACGGGAGCAGAAUAGAUUCGGGAGAAGGGCCAAGUGCUGCUGUGAAGGAAGCCAGCGCUUGGUGGAGACCACGUCAGACAGGCGGCUGUCAUUGUCCUUUCAAAGCUGGUCAUUUGCCAGGGCAGGUUGUGGGUGUGGGUUAUGCAUCCGGGCUGUGCUAAUGGGAACUGCCAGCUGAAGAAGACACUGAGUCCAGUUUUGGUCAUGAUGGUGAAUAAUGAAAUCAUUAUCACUGAGUUCGAUUUUAUUUCCAGUUCUUGUUUAUUGUUAGUGAAAUUCCGGGAUGUGGAGGUCAUUGUACUUUGCUUGGGGAAGAUGUGAAAAUGCAUCCUUUGUAGCUUUUCCCAGUUUAGGGGGUGUCAGAUGUUUUCUCUCUCUCUCUCCAGUCAUUGUGCUUUGUGGGUUUUCUACCAGACAUUUUGGUGCAAACAAGAAAAUUAACUCAAAAUAGCUUCAGCACAGAGGAAUGUGGUGCCCCACACAGCCGGCAGGUUGAGGGGCUGGUGUAGUUUCAGGCGUGGCUGGAUUCUGGUGCCUGAACGAUGCCGUCAGGAUUAUCUCGUGUUGUUCUUUCUCCUCUGCCUACUCCCUGCACACACCCUGGCCCUGCUUUCUUCUGUGUUAGGUUCAUUCUGGGGUUCGUUCUUCCCACCUGGUGAGGAAGCUGGCCGGCAGCAACUCCAAACCAUACGAACGUUGCCUGCGAUGCCAGAGUGACGCAGGUGACAAGGAGGCCCCUCCCCCGUUCAGUCAGUCAUUCCCCAGGUGUUUUAGGUUGCUUUUUCUUUUCUUUUCUUUUCUUUUUUUUUUUUUUUAAGACGAGUCUUGCUCUGUCGCCCAGGCUGGAGUGCAGUGGCGCGAUCUCGGCUCACUGCAAGCUCCGCCUCCUGGGUUCACGCCAUUCUCCUGCCUCAGCCUCCCGAGUAGCUGGGACUACAGGUGCCCGCCACCACACCCGGCUAAUUUUUUUUUUUUUUGUAUUUUUACUAGAGACGGGGUUUCACCCUGUUAGCCAGGAUGGUCUCGAACUCCUGACCUCAUGAUCCGCCCACCUUGGCCUCCCAAAGUGCUGGGGUUACAGGCGUGAACCACCACGCCUGGUCUUUUCUUUUGAGACGGAGUUUCACUCUUUUUUGCCCAGGCUGGAGUGCAAUGGCGCGAUCUUGGCUCACUGCAACCUCCGCCUCCCAGCCUCAGUGACUCUCCUGCCUCAGCCUCCUGAGUGGCUGGGAUUACAGGCACCCGCCACCACACCCGGCUAAUUUUGUAUUUUUAGUAGAGUUGGGCUUUGACCAUGUUGGCCAGGCUGGUCUCAAACUCCUGACCUCAGGUGAUCCGCCCGCCUCGGCCUCCCAAAGUGCUGGGAUUACAGGCGCGAGCCACCGCGCCUGGCCAGGUUGUUGCGUUUUCUAGUUUGUCCAGUGUUGAUAGUCACAAAAUAAGAAAGAUCUUGGAC
rnacentral:lncRNA from 1 species